UAUUUUCUUAUAAAAUAAUAUUUAUAUUUACCGAUAAAUAAUUUUUGUAGCUUAAAAGCUAAAUAAAUUCAUACAUACUGUAAUACAGAUAACCAAAGUAUAAAAUUUAAUUUACAGUGACACGUGGGCCCACGAAUGACCAAAAGUAUCAAAAGCGGUAAACCUACAGUUUUUGAGGAUGCUAAUCCAACUGUAGCGCUCAACAAAGUGAGCUAUCUAUCAACUAUCUUGAGUCUGAAAUGGGUGGAAAGGAGGGUGGUGAGAUUAUAUAAUCCAAGUGAGUAAACAAAUACCAUCUAAAAUAUCUAAAGCUGAGUAAAUGGAGACAGAUAAAAUAGUUUAACAUACUGUAAUUCAUCAACUUCCAACUCAUUUCAACCAAAUAAAAUCAAUUCAUAUAAAUCGAGUAAUCAACAUGGCUUAUGAAUUUCUUAAAACCUUGGCUCGUGCCAAAAUCAUUCUCAUACUCAGUUAUUAGGGAUACCUUGGCCGAGGGCUAUCCCAACCGAGUCCGCCAAGACUGUUAAAAAGUCAUGUACGCAUAAAUCAUGUUUUUAUUUUGAAAACAUAGCCGUUCCUAAGCGUUGGCUGAGUUCUCCCUCACGUGGUGGUUUGGCGUGAAGUGAACUCUAAAAGUGUACCUCAGGAGUUACCCUACACGCCUCUCCAAUCGAGGUAAGAAUAUAACAAGGUUACCGUGCCCCUCUAAUAAGCUGGUCCACGGAACCCACCCACUGCAGCUAUCUAAACCCACCAAUUCAAUAAAAUCUCAACCGCAUGACAUGGCAAUUAUAUCACAAUCCAGCCUCUCAAGGCUAAAUACACAGUUCAUAUAUUUUCAGCACAUUUACCAAUUCAGCCAUUCAUGCAAAUAUUGUCAUAAGCCAUUCGAUUCGAACCAUGAAUUUACAACACAUGAAAACAGUCUAUAAUUACUCUAUUUUCAAAACCAUCAUUCAAUCUCAAGACAAUUUUAUAAAAUCAUUUUCAUUUAAUCUCAUUUUGCUUGUAAAAUACAAAGAUUUACCAUUUAAACUCAUUUUCCAUAAAAUUACAAAAUCGGAUAAAACCACUUUAGAUAAUUAAUAUGAUAGUAAGGUUACUCACUAUUUCGGGAGUCGAAUUCCGAGUACUCCGAUUCUUGAUCCUCGGGUACUAUCUCUUUACUUUUGCCAGAAUGCUCACUACCUAGACAUAAUGCACAAUAAGCCAUUUACUACAUUUGUGCUAAAUUAUUAUAAAACCAAUUCAGGCUCUAUACUAAUGCAUGAAAUGGGAUAUGAAAUACUCGGGUAACUAUCUAAAUACGGUGUUCAAUAUAAAUUCAAUUAUGUACCUAAAUAAAAUGGUAUUGGCCUAAUUUGAUUUAUCACCCGAUUAAUUGGCCAAUACGUCCAAUUCAACUCCAAAUAAUUCCAUUUUUCUUCCAAUACUCCAAAUCAUCAAACACAAAUUAAAUAACUUGAAAUAUGGCAAAAUUAUCCUCACAUUUUCUCUUGGAAAAUUCGACCAUGGUGGGUGCAUCAAUACUAUAAUUUUUCCUACUUAAUUCUCACACCAUAAAUCACUAAUUCCUAACCAAAUCACUUGAAAUAAAAUCAAAAUCAUCCUCAAUAUUCCACAUGGAGAAUUCGGCUAAUGAUGGGUGAUGGAAGAACAUGAAUUUUUCUUGCUUGAUUUUCAUGCUACACAUCACCAAUCAACUAAAAACACUAAAAUACAUUGAAAUCUAACCAAAUCAAGCAUCAAAACCUCUCUCUAAGUGUUCAGCCAGCAAGAUACCCAUCAUGAAAUCAUGUGAUUCAACCAUGGAAAAUGCAAAAGAAUGUAUGGGAAAGGUAGAUCACAAGUCAAAAUCAAGAAAUUUUACCUUUGAUUGCUUGAUUACUUGAAAUUCACCAAAUUUUCUCUUGAAUUUUCACCCUAGGGUUCUUGUUCUUUCUUUUCUUCCUUUGUUCUUGCUUUGGCCGGUCAUAUGAAG
rnacentral:lncRNA from 1 species